GAUGAACGCUGGCGGCGUGCUUAAUACAUGCAAGUCGAACGGAAAGGCGCUGCUUUUGUGGCAGUCUCGAGUGGCGAACGGGUGAGUAACACGUGAGUAACCUGCCCUUGACUUAGGGAUAACUUCAGGAAACAGGGGCGAAUACCGGAUAGGAGCUCUUGCUGCAUGGUGUGGGUUGGUAAGUUUGGGUGGUUGGGGAUGGACUCGCGGCUUAUCGGCUUGUUGGUGUGGUAGUGGCUUACCAAGGCUUGGACGGGUAGCAGCCCUGAGAGGGUGACCGGCCACAUUGGGAGUGAGCUACGGCCCAGACUCGUACGGGAGGCAGCGGUGGGGAGUAUUGCACAAUGGGGGGAAGCCUGAUGCAGCAACACGGCGUGCGGGAUGACGGCCUUCGGGUUGAGAACCGCUUUCGCCUGUAACGAAGCGUGAGUGACGGUAAUGGAUAAAGAAGCACCGGCUAACUACGUG
rnacentral:rRNA from 1 species